AACUUUGCACAGUGGCAGUAUCAUAGCCAAGAAGGUUUAUCAGAGGCACAAUUAUUGCUAAUUAAAAACUAUGAGAAAAAUGGAAUGCCCUAGAGUCUUUUGUAAGUGUUUUAUUAAGAUAUUGACAUUUAAGUAAGUAG
ensembl:snRNA U4 U4 spliceosomal RNA